AGACCACCAUGUGCUAAUUGAUUUCAAUAUGAUUGGAUGCAGGAUGAGAAAUAUAGAAGAACAUGUGGCCACAAAGCUCAUGAAAGGUUGUUCUUAUCAUUUCAUCUGCAUAGAAGAGAGAAAAAGAAAGAAAAAAAACUGAUGCUAUCUUAUUAAUUUCUAAGGAGCAAUCAUGUAAUAUCCCGAAAAUAUUAAGUGGAUUUUGGUCCAUUAUGAUCUUUUACUUGAGACCAACCUUUGGAAGAAAAAAAAUUAUAUAACAGAACUUCCAUUUCGUCUAGUUUCCCAAGUAAUAAAAUAAUUUUUAAAGGAUUGUGCCAAUGUUUGUCGGAUUAGGUAGAUUUUCGUAUCCUAAGAACAUGUGGUGUAUCCAUAGAAAAAAAAAAAAGAAAAAAGAAAAAAGGGAUGCUUACGUGGGUAAGAAAGGAUAAAAGGGGAAUGAGGUUUCUAGAGAACUCUCUCUCAUCUUGCUCUUCUCCAGCUGAAGGAGAUGAAGUGAUUCAUCUCUUUUAGCUCUUAAUUUACCAAAAAGAAAAUUUGAGGAGGAAUUAGUUUUCUUUUUCUUUAUUUGUGAAGAUUAGGCCAAGUGAGGAUCCUUCUUUUGUCUUUAUUAGAGGUAUCUAUUUUUUACCUUAGAAAUCUAUUUGAUAUUUGGUUUGAUAACCCAUGAAUUAGUUUGGGUGGGAGUAGGAAACAUGAAAGUAUCAUAUUGCAUGUUAUAGUUUUAUAGAUGAGCACCAAGUGCUUGAUUAAAGUCCCCAAUUAACCUUGAAUUAGGGUAUGUUGUCUAGUAUUUUGUAUGAACAGUGUGUGAUGAUUUUUCUUACUUAUAGAUAAGGAAGAGAAGAACAAGGUGACUACUGAACAAGUCGACGAACACCAUGGGAGUUGAAUAUCAAUAAAUUGUGUUGAGGUGGUGUAGGGUUGACUAGCUAGGUUUCGAGUUGCAGCUCUAUUCUAGACUAGUAGAAGGGAGUCCGGACGUAUCUUUUGGGUGAGCUGCCAAAGUAUUUGUAUAGUUAAUCUUACACUGUAAAUGAUCUUUUUGUUGCGUUGUAGACUAAGAAGGGGUAGGCCAAAAUGGGUUAGUGUCUCUACUUACCUGGGCAAUGAAAACCAUGUGUAUAUAUAAUUACCUAUCUUUUGGCUUGUAUAAAUUAUGCUCAUGUACAUUUUCAUCAAAUGACUUGAACACGUUUUUCUUGUAUGAAACCUUGAAGGUCUUUUCUGAACUUAUUAUAGUCUGUAAGGCUUAAUGAAUUGCCUUUGGAGAAUCA